AAGUGGAUUAACUACUUCUGAGCAUUUGAGACUGAGAUGAAUCCUCCCGAAGAAAUCUCAUCACAGAUGGUUCGGAGCUGCACUGAUUAGAAUGCUUACUGUUCCAGCACUAGGACACGUUUAGAGAUAUGAAGCCCUUCAAAAUAGCAAAGUAAAGCGAAAUACAUGAAAUAAAAUCCUCCUUGACAUGUUUCCUCAUUUGAGGACCUCAGCCACAUCAUCCCUGGGAACGUGGAGACACGUUCCCUGGGAACCUGUGCUCACAGCCACCCCCCGAGGGGGAAGCAAUCUGUCCCCGCUGGAGUCCCAGGCACAGUGGAGAUGAUUCAGGAACCUUUCUCUUUAGGCUACCUUCCCAGCCUUCCAGCGGUUCUCAUGAGUAUUAAAUACAUCGGUGAGUCUGCCGUUCCCCGCCUCAAGCUGGAAACUGGAAUCCAAGAGUCACGAGAAGGUUCAGGCUGCUUCUAUCCAGGAUACCCCAUUAUGGUCAGUCACGUCUCCUGACGCUCCUCUCGGCCGUUCCUCAGACUGCCCUCGUUUUUUUGAUGUCCUUAGCAGUUUUCAGGAUGCCCUACUAUUGGAACCGGUUUUUCUCGAUUCUUUACCUCAAUCCCCGGGAUUCGUGGUCUCGCUGCUUCGAAGAACGAAAAGAUGGACACAAAUGAGCAGCAGGCAGAAAUUUAUUAGAGGGUAAGAUCAGAGAGUAAGAAUACCAUGAAAGCUCUCCUUGCAGAGAGGGGAUAUUUGAAAGAGAAUGCCCGUGACUACAGGCAAGGAUCCUUGUUUUAUAAGGUUCUGGUCCCCACCCCCCUCCCUUUGCCCCUUGCUGCUUCUCAGGUUUUACCCUUACUGGCUUGAUAACUCUAGUCCUGGAUUGUCCAUUCCUGAUUCGCUUGAUUCCAUCACAAGGGGUGACCUAUGACCAUAUCAUUCCUUGUGGGUCAUAGCACUUAUUUUGUUGUCGGGUCUUUGAUUGCCCAAUGCCUGAGGGGAUCCUGAGGGGGAGUAGGUGGUGUCUAUUACACUCAGGAGGAACCUUAGGCCGGAGGGGGUUUGCUGUGGUCAGACACUCCCAUCAUUGUUUCAAAAUAUGUGUUUCUCCCCACUGGGGACCGCCGGUGCUAAUCUUUCCCUCUCGGACUGGUUUAUCCUAUCUUUUCCUAUCAUACUAACUUACAUACCCAUCACAAAACAGAGUGUCGUCAUACCCAUUUUAUGGAUGGAGAAACUGAGGCUUGGAGACCUUUUGCAACUUGCUCGAAGCUCAGGGGUCAGAUGUAAGCGAGAUUAGCCUGGCUCCCUGGCUUGUUCUCCCCCAUAACUCAUGCUCGCUCUCCACAUCUUCUAUGACUGCGCGUACUUCUCCUGCAGGGACUGGGAGAGCUUCACGUGAGCCCUGAGGACAGGAGCCAGCAUCUGGGGGGACCCGUCCCUAAGUCCUAGCGCUGUUGUCUCUGGUGAUACAUUUCCCUCUGGGCUCUGGCUCCAGCUCCUGAUGGAGUUCUCAAUGACCGUUCAUUUCGUAACAUCUCCCCACCUGCCUGCCAAUUCAUUUCCUGGGCUGAUCGCACAGAAAUCAAUGGGGCCAGGAUGGAACUCGGCCUGCAGAAAGCCUGUUCGUGUCUAAGGGCAGCGCAGGGCAGAGGGGAGAACACUGCCACCAGAAUUAAAAGCAGAAGAUGCAGAUCAGCACAGAAGGUACGCCCAGCAGCAUGCUGGGGGGAGAGGAAAGUGAGGAGUUGGGGCGCCUGGGUGGCUCCAUUGGCUGAGCGUUCGACUCUUGAUUUCGGCUCAGGUCACCAUCCCAGAG